rnacentral:rRNA from 1 species
UACGGGGGGGGCAAGCGUUGUUCGGAAUUACUGGGCGUAAAGGGCGCGUAGGCGGCGCGGGAAGUCACUUGUGAAAUCUCUGAGCUUAACUCAGAACGGCCAAGUGAUACUGCAGUGCUAGAGUGUGGAAGGGGCAAUCGGAAUUCUUGGUGUAGCGGUGAAAUGCGUAGAUAUCAAGAGGAACACCUGAGGUGAAGACGGGUUGCUGGGCCAACACUGACGCUGAGGCGCGAAAGCCAGGGGAGCAAACGGG